rnacentral:ncRNA from 2 species
GGAAGCCGGUGAGAGUCCGGCACGGUCGCGCCACUGUGAACGGACGCCCCAGGCGUGCGUGAGUCAGAC